ensembl:snRNA U6 U6 spliceosomal RNA
CUCAUCUUCGCAGCACAUAUAGUAAAACAAUACAGAGAAAAUGAGCGUGGCCUCUGCCCAAAGAUGACACGCCACUUCACGAAGUGUCCCAUAUUUUA